GGGAUUGCCUUAGUAACGGCGAGUGAAGCGGCAACAGCUCAAAUUUGAAAUCUGGCCCCUUCGGGGUCCGAGUUGUAAUUUGUAGAGAGUGCUUCGGGCGAGGCCUCGGUCUAAGUCCAUUGGAACAUGGUGUCAUAGAGGGUGAGAAUCCCGUAUGCGACCGUGGCUCGAGCCCAUGUGAAGCCUCUUCGACGAGUCGAGUUGUUUGGGAAUGCAGCUCAAAAUGGGUGGUAAAUUUCAUCUAAAGCUAAAUACUGGCUGGAGACCGAUAGCGCACAAGUAGAGUGAUCGAAAGAUGAAAAGCACUUUGGAAAGAGAGUCAAACAGUACGUGAAAUUGUUGAAAGGGAAGCGCUUGCAACCAGACCUGCCCGUAGGCGAUCAGCCGCUGUUCUCAGCGGUGCACUCGCUCUGCGAUCAGGCCAGCAUCGGUUUCGGCGGUCGGAUAAAGGCCUUGGGAAUGUAGCUCCCCUCCGGGGGAGUCUUAUAGCCCUCGGUGCAAUGCGGCCAGCCGGGACCGAGGACCGCGCUUCGGCUAGGAUGCUGGCGUAAUGGUUGUAAGCGACCCGUCUUGAAACACGGACCAAGGAGUCUAACAUCUAUGCGAGUGUUUGGGUGUCAAACCCAUGCGCGGAAUGAAAGUGAACGGAGGUGAGAACCCUUAAGGGCGCAUCAUCGACCGAUCCAGAUGUCUUCGGAUGGAUUUGAGUAUGAGCAUAGCUGUUGGGACCCGAAAGAUGGUGAACUAUGCCUGAAUAGGGUGAAGCCAGAGGAAACUCUGGUGGAGG
rnacentral:rRNA from 1 species